rnacentral:rRNA from 1 species
CCUACGGGAGGCAGCAGUGAGGAAUAUUGGUCAAUGGCCGCAAGUCUGAACCAGCCAAGUCGCGUGAAGGAAGAAGGAUCUAUGAGUUGUAAACUGCUUUUGUACGAGGGUAAACGUAUCCACGUGUGUAUGUCUGCAAGUAUCCUACGAAUAAGGAUCGGCUAACUCCGUGCCAGCAGCCGCGGUAAUACGGAGGAUUCUAGCGUUAUCCGGAUUUAUUGGGGUUAAAGGGUGCGUAGGCUGUCGGUUAAGUUAGAGGUGAAAUCCCGAGGCUCAACCUGGGAAUUGCCUUUGAUACUGGACGACUAGAGUGUAUUUGCGGUAGGCGGAAUGUAUGGUGUAGCGGUGAAAUGCAUAGAGAUCAUGCAGAACACCGAUUGCGAAGGCAGCUUACCAAGCUACUACUGACGUUGAGGCACGAAAGCGUGGGGAGCAAACAGGAUUAGAUACCCGUGUAGUC